UACGUAGGGUGCGAGCGUUAAUCGGAAUUACUGGGCGUAAAGCGUGCGCAGGCGGUUAUUUAAGUCAGGUGUGAAAGCCCUGGGCUUAACCUAGGAAUUGCGCUUGAGACUGGAUAGCUUGGAGUGCGGCAGAGGGAGGUGGAAUUCCACGUGUAGCAGUGAAAUGCGUAGAGAUCGGAAGGAACGCCCGUGGCGAAAGCGAGGUCCUGGACGUCUACUGACGCUGAGACGCGAAAGCUAGGGGAGCAAACGGG
rnacentral:rRNA from 1 species